UUACGGCCACAUCAUGUUAAAACACCGAUUCCCGUACGAUCAGCUAGGUUAAGCAAUGUCCAGCCAGGUUAGUACCUAGAUGCGUAACCGCCUAGGAAUAUCAGGUGCUGUAAG